GCUCUUAGAAAUUCCUUUAACUUCCUAGUAAAUUUGCUCUUAGCACUUGUUCUUUGACUUUUGGCACUUUCUAUUUCGUCGGACAUCUUUGUUUUUACACGUUAUUCGGUUCACUACGUUUAAUAAACACUAACUCAUCAAAAUUCUGGCAUAAUUUAGGCUUUCGUACCUUCAGAGACGGAUUUCGAAUGUUUUGUUAGCCGCUUUCUUCGUUUUCAACCGCCAUUUCAGAAACAAACAACAACGAAUGUCAACGUACAUUUAAUAGUUUCGAAAUCUAAACAAUACAAAA